UACGUAGGUGGCAAGCGUUAUCCGGAUUUACUGGGUGUAAAGGGCGUGUAGGCGGGACUGCAAGUCAGAUGUGAAGAUUAUGGGCUCAACCCAUAACCUGCAUUUGAAACUGUAGUUCUUGAGUGAUGGAGAGGCAGGCGGAACUCCGUGUGUAGCGGUGAAAUGCGUAGAUAUACGGAGGAACACCAGUGGCGAAGGCGGCCUGCUGGACAUUAACUGACGCUGAGGCGCGAAAGCGUGGGGAGCAAACAGG
rnacentral:rRNA from 1 species